UACGUAGGGGGCUAGCGUUGUCCGGAUUUAUUGGGCGUAAAGAGCGUGUAGGCGGCCUGGUAGGUCUGCUGUGAAAACUCGAGGCUCAACCUCGAGAUGUCGGCGGAAACCAUCUGGCUAGAGUCCGGAAGAGGAGAGUGGAAUUCCUGGUGUAGCGGUGAAAUGCGCAGAUAUCAGGAAGAACACCUAUGGCGAAGGCAGCUCUCUGGGACGGUACUGACGCUGAGACGCGAAAGCGUGGGGAGCGAGCAGG
rnacentral:rRNA from 1 species